AGUUGGUUUUAUUAGCUCAUAGUCUGCAUGGGACAAAAAUUCCAAAAAGCAAUCAAUGGUUCUCAGAU